rnacentral:tRNA from 1 species
UCCCUGGUAGCUCAGACGGUAAAGCGUCUGCCUACAAUGUGGGAGACCCAGGUUCAAUCCCUGGGUCGGGAA